AAUACCAAUAAAUGACAAGAUCAUAGUUACGUGAUAGAUGAUAAU
rnacentral:guide_RNA from 1 species